UUGAUUAUCCAGACAGACAGGACUAAGCUUCCUUGCACUGGGAUAAAUGGCAAUGAGUCAGUCGAAUGAGCCACCUUUGGAAGAGAUACAUGUGUAAUAGCAAGGGUUAUCCAAUCUAAAUACAAUUUUAUGUCGGGAAUUUACUCAUUUGGUAUCCUAUGUUUUUGCAAAGUAUCAUUUUGGUACCAUCUGUUUUCAAUAAUGCUCAUAUGAUAUCCUGUAUUUUAAAAUUAUACAUAUUUGAUACCCUAGACUCAGAUUUGAUAGAUAAAAUUUUGUCAGUAUGAUUAAACUGUUAUAUAAUUGACAGCAGUUUGAUUAAAUUGGUAAAAUUUUAUUAAUUACAUUUGAGUUUAGGGUACUAAAUAUGUAUGAUUUUAAAAUACAGGGUACCAUAUGAGUAUUAUUAAAAACAGAGGGUACCAAAAUGAUACUUUGCAAAAACACAGGGUACCAAAUAAUUACCAACCUUUUUAUGUUUUUCAAAACUAAAAAUAUGUGGGUCCUACAAAAUUUCAUGAUUGGUGUUUCAUUUCUGAAAAUAAAAUUUAAAUACAAA